UCCCACUAAAUAUGAUUUUUAUAUAAGCAUCAUUAUACAUAUCAUCUCAUUAAUAUGCUAUCUAUCGGGUACGAUUAUGCAUUUUGCCUAUGAUGUCCAUCCCUUGUUGCAUUGCAUUGCAUCCCAUAUACUUAGUACAUUCAAACGUACUAACGCAUACUCUAUGCCUACAUGAUGUCACCAUGUAGGGACCGGAGCACCGCUUGACCCUCCUCCUCCGCGUGGCUAAUACGAUUUUCUAUCAAGGUUAUUGGUGAGUCCUCCAUUCCGGGGACGUUGC
rnacentral:lncRNA from 1 species